rnacentral:misc_RNA from 1 species
UCAAACUUGGUCAUUUAGAGGAAGUAAAAGUCGUAACAAGGUUUCCGUAGGUGAACCUGCGGAAGGAUCAUUAACAAAUCCGUGUCGCGUCGUCGCUGUGAUGCAGCGUAUGCUCCGUCCGGCUGGCGAUGCACAUUUGUUCCGUGUGCAUGUUUGCUCUGCGCACUGGUGACACAUUUCUGCAAAUGUCUGAUCAUUAUUGGUGUGAAUGCGUGAUGUCGACUUUUAACAAUGGAUCUCUAGGCUCCUGCAUCGAUGAAGAACGCAGC